UAGCCCUGACAAUGGGCAAGAGCUACCUUUGUGGUGGUGGUCUUCUUCUGUCAGUCAGGGACAGAGCAGAUGGCAGUCCUUUGUUCAUCCUAGUUUGAUGCUUGGCUUGGUGGCCAAAGUUAUUUUAUACCUAGAACAUAAAA